AGUCCAUGAUGUGGACAUUUCUUCAACAUGUCCUUGUAACUCUCCCAUGACUCAUAUAAUGAUUCUUGGUCCCACUGAGAGAAAUGGGUGAUCACGACCAUAAGCU